GAGCGUAGUGGUCACCAUCAAAAACUAAUUUAAUUCUGUGCGGUGGCCACCAAUGCGGCGGCGCUACGGUAUUUUCCCCACAUUCACCACCAAAAGUUCGGUGUUUGUACAGUAGUACGACGUGUAGGACUCUGUAUAGUACUUGUCUUAUGGAAAAUUUGUACAGCGUGACACAAGACGUUCCUGGAACUUUGUUCCGGAUUCGCCUGUCAGAUGGCUGAUUCCUCAGAGUUUUGUGAAUUUUCUUAUUAGUGAAAAAUGAUAAAUUAGUGUUUUUUCAAGCAAUUGACCAGCAGGAUUCCAGAGAACAGUACAGUAUUUCACAACUGAUUCAAAUCUUCGAAACUGGACAUUGUUGUUAACAACGUGAUUGGAAGAUGAAAGAACACCCUGGAACUCCACGUACUCAAAUAUAGUUCAGAUAAAACUGGAGCCAGCAGACGAUAAUCUGUUAAAUGACGAGAAGGACGGACACAUGUAAUUUUGCAAAGGUCUACUGCUUCAGGUUCGGAGCAAUCUUUUCGGAAAUAUAUUUCCUAACACCGUAUGUUACCGAAAAUGUGCUGAAAUAGCUAAAUGUUAUGAAGAACUAAAGUAACUAAAAAUAUGUUCUCGGCAGCGAUUCGUACAUUAAUUGCACUGAUUUAAAUAAAUUUUUCAAAUGUUCUCCGUUUUGUAUGGUAUUCGCACUUUUACGAUUUGAGUAGCACAUUUUGUAUUUGGGUAUAUUGAGAUGGCAACCCUAAAACAUUAAAUUUUUUCGUAUUUUAAUAAUUAAUAUUUCAAGUGGAACUUUUCACAAGUAAUCUAUGAUGUUGGAGUUAGAUUGGACUGAUCAUAUUUAACAUAACUUUCGUUUACAGAUAUUUGUUUUUCUGAUUUUAUAUCUAAAUAUAAGUAACCUAAUUUCCGUCAAUUAUUGAGAUAUAGAAAUGUCAUUUCCUGAACAUAUUUUCUGUCUUUCCCUGCGUUGUUUUUGCGUUCGUAAAUAAUUUUAUAUUAUAUACAACUUUAUAAAACUUAACAAAAAAUAGUUAAAGAUUUGAGAAAAAACAUCUUUGAUGCAAAACAUGUCAUUUUAGCGCGAUUCGCCAUUCUUUUAGAAAAUACUACUAAUUACACUUAAUAUUUUUGGAGAUUUGACUAAGAUUUUUCACAAAUGUGACACAUUGCAUGGAUUAAUACAAGAACACUUUUUUUUGAUAAAAUAUUAAUCAAUAGUUAAUUAUUAUUGAAAGAAAAUGUUUUUUGUGCCUAAUUAUCAUCUUAUUUUAAUUAUUAGGAUGAAUGAAAUGCCACUCUUUACUAAUCUUUUUAAGAAAAUCGGCAAAAAACAUUUAUGAAAAUUUAAAAUUAAGGAAAAUCUUCAGCACAAACUUUUUAAGAUAAAACCGGAUUUAAAAUGCACACAAUUCUCUAUCUAAUUAUGUAAUGAAAAAUUGAAAAAAACCCAAAAAUGCUCAAAAUGCCACUAAAAUCGCGAAAGUACGAUAUAAUAACAUAAGAAUUUGUUAAAUUUAUAAUAAAAUUAAUUAAUUAUGUAUUUUGUAAAUUGAAAUGCAAAUAAAUUUAAUUUUAGUAUA